rnacentral:rRNA from 1 species
GACGAAGGGAUCCAAGCGUUAUCCGGAUUCAUUGGGUUUGAAAGGGAGGCGUAGGCGGGUUUAUAAGUCAGUGGUUGAAAUCCUAUACGCCUUAACGAUGGAACUGCCUAUUGAUACUGUAGACCUGAGAGUACAGGAUGAUGUUGGCGGAAUAUGACAUGUAGCGGUGAAAGUGACAUAGAUAUGUACAUAGAACACCGAUUGCGAAGGCAGCUGACAAAAACUGUGAA